GGAAUAACUGUUCCGCUACCCAAGACAGCAGGUACGUACGUUUAAUUGCGCUUGCGCAGCCCGCCGAGGUGGUUAAGAGAAGCUCACAUUCAUGGCUUUGUCGACCCCUGCUGUCAUUGGCGCAGGGGUCGUUUCUUUUCAGAAUU
rfam:Eggerthella sp. CAG:298, WGS project CBHI01000000 data, contig: 40